UACGAAGGGGGCUAGCGUUGCUCGGAAUCACUGGGCGUAAAGGGUGCGUAGGCGGGUCUUUAAGUCAGAGGUGAAAUCCUGGAGCUCAACUCCAGAACUGCCUUUGAUACUGAGGGUCUUUGAGUAUGACAGAGGUGAGUGGAACUGCGAGUGUAGAGGUGAAAUUCGUAGAUAUUCGCAAGAACACCAGUGGCGAAGGCGGCUCACUGGGUCAUUACUGACGCUGAGGCACGAAAGCGUGGGGAGCAAACAGG
rnacentral:rRNA from 1 species